CCUGCGGAGGGAUCAUUACAAGAACGCCCGGGCUUCGGCCUGGUUAUUCAUAACCCUUUGUUGUCCGACUCUGUUGCCUCCGGGGCGACCCUGCCUUCGGGCGGGGGCUCCGGGUGGACACUUCAAACUCUUGCGUAACUUUGCAGUCUGAGUAAACUUAAUUAAUAAAUUAAAACUUUUAACAACGGAUCUCUUGGUUCUGGCAUCGAUGAAGAACGCAGCGAAAUGCGAUAAGUAAUGUGAAUUGCAGAAUUCAGUGAAUCAUCGAAUCUUUGAACGCACAUUGCGCCCCCUGGUAUUCCGGGGGGCAUGCCUGUUCGAGCGUCAUUUCACCACUCAAGCCUCGCUUGGUAUUGGGCAACGCGGUCCGCCGCGUGCCUCAAAUCGUCCGGCUGGGUCUUCUGUCCCCUAAGCGUUGUGGAAACUAUUCGCUAAAGGGUGUUCGGGAGGCUACGCCGUAAAACAACCCCAUUUCUAAGGUUGACCUCGGAUCAGGUAGGGAUACCCGCUGAACUUAAGCAUAU
rnacentral:rRNA from 1 species